UACAGAGGGUGCAAGCGUUGUUCGGAAUUAUUGGGCGUAAAGCGCGUGUAGGCGGCUAUGCAAGUCGGGUGUGAAAGCCCUCAGCUUAACUGAGGAAGUGCGCCCGAAACUGCAAAGCUUGAGUACCGGAGAGGAUGGCGGAAUUCCCCAAGUAGAGGUGAAAUUCGUAGAUAUGGGGAGGAACACCGGUGGCGAAGGCGGCCAUCUGGACGGAUACUGACGCCGAGACGCGAAAGCGUGGGUAGCAAACAGG
rnacentral:rRNA from 1 species